ACCCAUCACCGUCUGCUGGUGAGCUGGAUCAGACGGCAGGGAAAACUGACAGACAGAUCCGGUAGGCCCAAGCGCAUAGUGAGGGCGUGCUGGGAACAAGCGUCAGAGGACCCUGUCCGGAAUGAUUUUAACUCCCACCUUCGUGAGAACUCCUCCCAUGUCCCGGAGGAGGUAGGAGACAUGGAGUCUGAAUGAAAAUUUGAUUUUAAAAGCUUUGCUAUGCCUACAUGCUUCUGUAAUAGAACGUUUAAGAAUGUUUAACUGCUCAAUAGCCUAUGCAAGAAAGCGGCACAUUCCAGGCUAUAGUUUGCUCUCUGUAUGUCCCCUUUUGUGCCAGCCUGUUCCCAUGAGAUAUCAGAGAAAUGUGGCUUACGCAGACUCACGUAAAGCCCAGAGGAUGUGUGUAACUGUUUCACGUAAGAAAGGAGAUCAACUGGUGACAGUGGACGUGUGUGAUGAGAGAUUGAGGGGCACAGUGACACGCCUGGAAUGUUCAAAAAAUAACAUGUAUUCUGCCUAUGCUUACAAAAAUCUGCCCUAGAAUAUGUAUAAAUAUCUGCUUGCCUGGCUGCUCUGGUGUGACUCUGCGCACACGAAUACAUAAGGUUUUCUGCAACUCAAGUGACCGAGUGAUCUAUCUGUAUGACAAUUCUCAUUUUUCCUACCACAGUUCUGGGGGCUCGUCCGGGAUCACGACCUUCUGCCGGGACCGACCCGUGUGCCGCGAGGAACCCGACUAAGGGGGCAACCCUCCUAGGUCUAGGGGACCUGCUGGUGACCGAGCCCGAGCAAAAGUUAGGGCUGGCCCGUCCUGCGGUGCACCGAUCGACUCGGACAGAAUACGUGACACAGCUGCAGGUGUCGGGGAAGGCCGCUUUGUCUCCCGGGCGCCUGAAGGUAGUGCACCCCACCGACGCUGGUGUUUCUCCAGCGAAGGCUCUGAACGUCGAGGGAGCACGAAAGAAGAACCUGUGUGGCCUGGAGGUCGGAGAUUCGAGUCGUUCCGCUAUGCGCGCCGUCUUCCCUCGACCGGACGGCAGGCCGCAAGCGCUACUGGACGUUGCUGGGAAGAGGAAGAAACCCCUGCCGAGGGGCGUCACUGCGCCGUCUCCAUUGUAGAGUGGCUCUGUCGACUGGCGCAAAGCGGUACGCUUCAUUUAAAAAUCUCAAAGGCAUUUGGUAAGAAUCUCAAGCUGGGUACAAAUGCAACGGAUGAUGCAGUUCCCGACACCAGGCCGAGGAAGGAGGGGCCGAGAGAGUCGGGGGCUCGUUGGUCUAGGGGUAUGAUUCUCGCUUCGGGUGCGAGAGGUCCCGGGUUCAAAUCCCGGACGAGCCCGCCCAGCUCCCUGCUUGGCUGUGUCAGUUGAGCUCUCGAAAGUGUACUGGCAGCAAGAGUGUUGCGGGAAGGUUCAGCAUGGGCCAAGGGGCUUGCAGGAAGGCUCUUGCUGAGGAGGGGAAAGAUCCCUGGUAGAGCAGGCCAGGCUGGUCCUCCUGUAUGUGUGUGGAAGCAG
rnacentral:tRNA from 1 species